CCUGGUGGAUUGAUGUGGAAACAACACCGACAAUGAAUGGUAUGUUUAUAUAUAUUUGCUUUGUUCUUAUUUUGUAAUGUUUGCUUCAAACUUUGGGCCAUUCCAUUCUUUCUUCUCCAUGUGGGAGCCAGGACAACUACAUAGCUUGGGCAAAUUACAAAGGAUCCCGGCGAUAAGCAUUUGCCAUGAAAAUUGUUCAUUACUUUCAUGUUUUUCUUGCUAUAGCUCUAGUAGUGCCUCGAGGAACAAUUCAACACAUGAAAAGUACCCUCCUUCACAUUAUCUUUUUUUUGCAGGGAACCCUCCCUCACAUUAUCAACCUCAUUUAUUCUUUCUCGACCACAGGCAAUGCAUAGUUUCAGUGCAAGAAAAAGAUUAUCAAGGAGGAUUAUGGCUAACAAGCUACCACAUCUCCCUUCUAUUUUGCCGACCAUCCUCCAAAGUAUCGAUCAUCCCUUGUUGCGUUGGUGAAACACCGUCAAUGUGUUCCUUGUCCUCCAUGUAUCUAGAUCUAGUACCACAAACAGUUACUAAUGGCCAGAUCUGGUCUCCAUGUCAUCCCCACGUUUAGAUCUGGUCCCAUCGAGAACAGAGGACACAUUCAUCCUCUUGAUGGCCAGAUCUAGGUGCCCGCCCUUCUCCCCAUCACUUUUGUGGUCAUGUUCAAGCAUCUUUCUACCAUUGUUCACCUUACCUGACCUGGUCUCUCAUUCCUCCUUCGUUCCAUGGCCAGAUCCGAUCUCUCGUCACCCCUUUCAUCCCAUUGCCAACUCCGGUCUUCCAUCCUUCCUUUGUUGUUUUACGAACAUAUGUGAAAACGACGCCGGUAAUCAAUGGUAUGUUUAUACAUUUACUUUAUUCUUAUUAUGUAACGCUUGGUUGAUAGCCUGUCGCUGAGCCAUCCCCUUUCUUUCUUCCCCAUGUGGGAGCCACGACGGCCAGAUGGCCUGGGCAAAUUACGAAGGAUCCGGGCGAUAAGCACUUGCCGUGAAAAAUUGUUCAUUGCUUUUCUAUUUCUUUGCUAUAGCUCCACCAAUGCCUCCAGGAACAAUGCAACACAUGACAGGUACCCUUCCUCACAUUAUCAACCUCAUUUAUCCUUUCUGGAGCACACUCUAUGGCAAACAAGCCAUGGAAAUCCAAACCAGUGUUAGGAGGAGAGGCCCCAUAAAAAAAAUGGAGAAACAAUUGCCAAGAUAAGCCAGGGCUCCACGGGGGAAAGCGAAGGAAAGCAAUCUCGGCACUUUCCCCCCCUAAAUUACAGCGCUCUUCAUCCCACGUCAAAGGAUCUCAUCGGGUCGUAGCACACAUCUCUCUCCCUGCCCCGACCCCGAUAUAUUCUCCCCCCAAAUCCCUUCCUCCGUCCGCCUUGUCUCGCUCUCUCGUUC
rnacentral:lncRNA from 1 species